UAAAGGUUUCCCGUAGGUGAACCUGCGGAAGGGCGGGGGAUGGUUACCGUCCAGUGGAGAGACCGCGCACAGUUACAACACUCGAGGGGGGCGAGGGGCGCGAACAAAACAAAAACCUCCUCGCCGGGUGCUUGUGGCCCCGCCCCUCGCCCCCGGCACCAAACGAACCCCGGCGCGGAAUGCGUCAAGGAAAGACAACGAGACGAUCCCCGCCAUCGAGGCCCCGGGAACGGUGACUCUGCCUCGGUGGUCGCUUCGGGAUCGGUUUUUAGUAUGAAGAACGACUCUCGGCAACGGAUAUCUCGGCUCUCGCAUCGAUGAAGAACGUAGCGAAAUGCGAUACUUGGUGUGAAUUGCAGAAUCCCGUGAACCAUCGAGUCUUUGAACGCAAGUUGCGCCCGAAGCCAUCAGGUCGAGGGCACGUCUGCCUGGGCGUCACACGUCGUUGCCCCCCCGAACCCCCGUCCCGCUCCUAGCCGGGCGAGUGGGGACUGUGUGGGGGGGGCGGAUGAUGACCUCCCGUGCGUGCUUUGACCCGCGGUUGGUCCAAAAACCGAGUCCCCUGUCACGUCGUCUUGGCAACAGGUAGUCGAUCAUUCGGUGCCGCCGCCUUUUGCUCGGACACGCAUCGGACUCCGACAGACCCCAAUGCCCGCGGCACGGUCCGCCUAAGGGGCCUAAAGUAUAUGGCGGGGCUACCCGCUGAGUUUUAAGCAUAAGGAG
rnacentral:rRNA from 1 species